CAAUAGCGUAUAUUAAAGUUGUUGCAGUUAAAAAGCUCGUAGUUGGAUUUCUGUCUUUGUUGUGCGGUCCACCGCGAGGUGAGCACUGUGCGAUGGGGACUUCCUCUCGAUGUUGUGCCGUGUUCUUAACUGAGUGCGGUAUUGACUCGGGACCUUUACUUUGAAAAAAUUAGAGUGUUCAAAGCAGGCCUACGCUUGAAUACAUUAGCAUGGAAUAAUUGAAUAGGACUUCGGUUCUAUUUUGUUGGUUUCUAGGACCGAAGUAAUGAUUAAUAGGGACAGUUGGGGGCAUUAGUAUUUAAUUGUCAGAGGUGAAAUUCUUGGAUUUAUGAAAGACUAACUACUGCGAAAGCAUUUGCCAAGGAUGUUUNCAUUAA
rnacentral:rRNA from 1 species